rnacentral:tRNA from 1 species
GGGGUAUUAGCUCAACUGGAUAGAGUCGCGGUCUUCGAAUCCGUCGGUUGGGGGUUCGAGUCCCUCAUGCCCUACCA